rnacentral:lncRNA from 1 species
GGUUGUAGUGUUAUACAGUUUAUUGAUCUGGUAAAGUGAGGGCCAAGGAAGAAACUCAUAGACAUCUGAAAAAUAUAAAACAUGAUGCUUUUCCAGGAUUCAGUUUUGAAUCAUUAGAUAGUCCCUCUGCCUCUUGGAAUGGACCAUUUCCCCUAGAUUUUGAAAACUGAAUAUGUUUACAAAGAAGAAAAGAGGCAAGGUACAGUAAACUCCUUGUUAUUUAAAUUUCAUGUAUUUAAUUAUAAUAUGUUUUUGUUCUGAAGAGUUCACAUAUAUGAUUGCAUACUUUUAAAGUAUGAACAGCUCCGGAAAGCUCAAAAAUUGACUUAUUAUUAUAAAGUGCUCAUUUGUUA